rnacentral:rRNA from 1 species
AGCGAACGCUGGCGGCAGGCUUAAUACAUGCAAGUCGAACGCACCCUUCGGGGUGAGUGGCGGACGGGUGAGUAACACGUGGGAAUGUGCCUUUAGGUUCGGAAUAACUCAGGGAAACUUGAGCUAAUACCGGAUGUGCCCCCAUUCUUUAGCGAGAGUGGGGGAAGAUUUAUCGCCUUAGAGCAGCCCGCGUCUGAUUAGCUAGUUGGUGGGGUAAAAGACCUACCAAGGCGACGAUCAGUAGCUGGUCUGAGAGGAUGGCCACGCCACACUGGGACUGAGACACGGCCCAGACUCCUACGGGAGGCAGCAGUAGGGAAUCUUGCGCAAUGGGCGAAAGCCUGACGCAGCCAUGCCGCGUGGAUGAUGAAGGUCUUAGGAUUGUAAAAUCCUUCAGCGGGGACGAUAAUGACGGUACCCGCAGAAGAAGCCCCGGCUAACUUCGUGCCACGCCGCCGCGGUAAU